rnacentral:rRNA from 1 species
AAAACAUCGCCUCUUGACUCAACUAAAUAUAAGAGGUCCAGCCUGCCCGGUGACAAUAGUUUAACGGCCGCGGUAUUUUGACCGUGCAAAGGUAGCGCAAUCACUCGUCUUUUAAAUAGGGACCUGUAUGAAUGGCCAAACGAGGGUUUAACUGUCUCCCCUUUCAAGUCAGUGAAAUUGAUCUAUCCGUGCAGAAGCGGAUAUAAUAAUACAAGACGAGAAGACCCUUUGGAGCUUAAGGUACAAGACUUAAACACACCAAACAAACCAAUAAACGUAACGAAUACAGUGAAGUAUAAGACUCUACCUUCGGUUGGGGCGACCAAGGAGUAAAAAAUAACCUCCAAGUGGAACGGGUAAACCCUAAAACUAAGAGACACAUCUCUAAGCCUCAGAACAUCUGACCAAGUAUGAUCCGGUCAAUAAAACCGAUCAACGGACCAAGUUACCCUAGGGAUAACAGCGCAAUCCUCUCUAAGAGUCCAUAUCGACGAGGGGGUUUACGACCUCGAUGUUGGAUCAGGACAUCCUAAUGGUGCAGCCGCUAUUAAGGGUUCGUUUGUUCAACGAUUAAUAGUCCUACGUGAUCUGAGUUCAGACCG